rnacentral:rRNA from 1 species
UUUUUUAAUUGAAAACUAGAAUGAAAGGUUUAACGAAAUAUUAACUGUUUCAUAAAAAUUUUUAUAGAAAUUAAUUUUUUAGUAAAAAAGCUAAAAUAAAAUUAAAAGACGAGAAGACCCUAUAGAGUUUUAUAUAAAAAUUUUAUAAUUUAUAAAUAAAAAUUUAAAUUUUAUUUAUUUUUAUAUUUUGUUGGGGUGACAAUAAAAUUUAAUUAUCUUUUAUUAAUUUUUUACAAUGAUUUUUGAUUAAUUGAUCCAUUUUUAAUGAUUAUAAGAUUAAAUUACCUUAGGGAUAACAGCGUAAUUUUUUUGUAGAGUUCAUAUCGAUAAAAAUUUUUGC